GGGGCGUUGGCGCAACGGUAGCGCGUCAGAUUCCAGUCCUGAAGGUUGCGUGUUCGAAUCACGCACGCCUCA
rnacentral:tRNA from 1 species